CUAACACAUGCAAGUCGAGCGGGGAAUGUUGAGCAGCUUGCUGCUUGAUAUUUCUAGCGGCGGACGGGUGAGUAACGCGUGAGCAACCUGCCUUUAUCAGGGGGAUAACGCAUCGAAAGAUGUGCUAAUACCGCGUAAGACCACAGCUUCACAUGGAGCAGGGGUCAAAGGAGCAAUCCGGAUAAAGAUGGGCUCGCGUCCGAUUAGCUAGUUGGUGAGAUAACAGCCCACCAAGGCAACGAUCGGUAGCCGACCUGAGAGGGUGAUCGGCCACAUUGGAACUGAGAAACGGUCCAGACUCCUACGGGAGGCAGCAGUGGGGAAUAUUGGGCAAUGGGCGAAAGCCUGACCCAGCAACGCCGCGUGAGGGAAGAAGGGUUUCGGCUCGUAAACCUCUGUCCUAUGGGACGAAGGAAGUGACGGUACCAUAGGAGGAAGCCCCGGCUAACUACGUGCCAGCAGCCGCGGUAAUACGUAGGGGGCGAGCGUUGUCCGGAAUGAUUGGGCGUAAAGGGCGCGUAGGCGGCCUGCUAAGUCUGGAGUGAAAGUCCUGCUUUCAAGGUGGGAAUUGCUUUGGAUACUGGUGGGCUGGAGUG
rnacentral:rRNA from 1 species